rnacentral:ncRNA from 1 species
CAUUUGUAUGAAAGGAGAGGAGGUCAAUACUCCCCUUGACAAGAAUGAAAGAGGCCCUUGAGUCUGACAAUGGCAUCUAACCAUAGAGUUUGUGUGUGUAUGUGUGUGUGUGUUUUU